rnacentral:tRNA from 1 species
GGACCAUUAGCUCAGUUGGUUAGAGCGCUCGCUUGAUAAGCGAGAGGUCACUGGUUCAAGUCCAGUAUGGUCCA